AGAGCUGUCCUUCAUGACAACAGAACCCACAACAACCAUGACUCUGAUCACCAUCUUCAUCUGGACUCUAGCUGUCUACAUACAGGAGUCCAGAGGGCAGUACACUUUGACUCAGACUCCUGCAGUGAAAGCUGUUCUUGCAGGAGAUACAGUCUCUAUAGGAUGUAGAGUUAGCAGUCCUGUGUACAGUAGUAAUUAUCUAGCCUGGUACCUCCAGAGACCAGGAGAAGCUCCUAAACUCCUCAUUUACUACGCUACAACACUUCAGUCUGGGAUUCCAUCUCGAUUCAGUGGUAGUGGAUCUGGGAGUGACUUCACUCUGACCAUCAGUGGAGUCCUGGCUGAAGAUGCAGGAGAUUACUACUGUCAGAGUUACCACAGUGGUGGAGUGUUCACACAGUGAUACAGAGCCGUACAAAAACCUCCCUCAGUCAGACUGCACAGUGACUGCACUGCUACAGCUGGGACCUACUGCAGGUGCU